GAUGAACGCUGGCGGCGUGCCUAAUACAUGCAAGUCGAGCGAACAGACGAGGAGCUUGCUCCUCUGACGUUAGCGGCGGACGGGUGAGUAACACGUGGAUAACCUACCUAUAAGACUGGGAUAACUUCGGGAAACCGGCGCUAAUACCGGAUAAUAUAUUGAACCGCAUGGUUCAAUAGUGAAAGACGGUUUUGCUGUCACUUAUAGAUGGAUCCGUGCCGCAUUAGCUAGUUGGUAAGGUAACGGCUUACCAAGGCAACGAUGCGUAGCCGACCUGAGAGGGUGAUCGGCCACACUGGAACUGAGACGCGGUCCAGACUCCUACGGGAGGCAGCAGUAGGGAAUCUUCCGCAAUGGGCGAGAGCCUGACGGAGCAACGCCGCGCGAGUGAUGAGGGUCUUCGGAUCGUAAAACUCUGUUAUUAGGGAAGAACAAAUGUGUAAGUAACUAUGCACGUCUUGACGGUACCUAAUCAGAAAGCCCCGGCUAACUACGUG
rnacentral:rRNA from 1 species